UUUUUUUUGAUCCAAGGCCUUGUGAAAAAUUCCAUGUUUCUAUUUCUUCAUGUAUUUUCAAUUAUUUUUCUUUAUUUUUUUUCAGUAUCUAAUCACUGUACACUCUCUAAUUCCUAAUGAGAAGAACUGAUCAGGAGCUGAUGUGAGACUGUUUUUGGGAUCGUUAGGACUUGAUUAUAGAAGAGACUUAAGUGUUUGAACUUCACCUUUACUCUUGCCACCAAAUACUGGUUCUGUGUGUCCUCAUGCCUUUUGAGUUUUAACGCUAGACAUGGAUGCCAUGUGCAGGGUCAAAUUAAAGCCUAGAGAAUGUUUCCCCGAUAGCACUAUAGUAGUUCCAUCCCAAAUGCCAUCCCAGAAUAAGAGGCCUGUUAAAUAGAGUCCCUUGAUCACACUAUUUAGAACUAAGUGCAGUUAAUGCUUUGAGAAUGUUGCAAGUUCUGACAUCCUACCAAGAGGACAACUCCAGGCCUACAGCUGACUGCUUCUGUCAGGUCAGUUUUCUUUACAUCAGAUCCCUUUAACAAAACACCAGCCGUGGGGAGGAAAGAAAGGACGCAUCAGAUGGCGACAUGCUUAAUCCCUGUGAUGUAAUGUAAACAAUAGCUCUUAGCUUGAUUAGCUCAACAACUCAGUAUCCAUAAUGUCCAAUUAAGUUGCCCGGAACACUUUAUUUCCGUAAGGUUUUGAAUGACUGUAUAUUUUGGAAUUACGCAAUGCUGUACUACAGGGUAGAUGUAGUGAGUUUUAUAUUUGUAUGUUUACAGAUGUAAAUACACAGCAAAUGUACCUGUACCUUUACUUGAACCUGGUGUGGGAGAGCAGUUGCAUGCUCCUCUCCAGCUUUCUUCUAAGUUACAUUGUGAGCCUGCAGGUUUGUGUUUCAUAACGACAGAAGGGGGAUAUUUUUCUCCUUUAUUGCUUUGCAUUUCUCAUGUAAUCGGAGUCAAAGUAAAUAGUUAAUAGAACACUUUUUAAAUUUCACAGGCCAAUUAUACUCACUAUUCUGAACGGCUUCACUCUUUCUUUCUCAGUAUUCGAGGUUAUAGUUGAAGUGAAUUUACAUGUGAAGAAAUGACAGUAGAUUUGGGAACAGUGCUUUAAACACUGACCUCUCUUCAAACAGAGUUACAUGUAUAACAUCACCCAUCCCCUGCAUGUCCUGUCUUCCAAGGAUUUAGACAACAUUUGGGAGUUAGGACACAUUUCCUCACAGAACUUAGAGCUGUUCUCUGUGCACACUGCUGAAGCUCAACGGGGAGCCAAAACCACCUGACCACGGAUACACUCAUAACGUGGGCAACGAGUGGCUCAAGCACGUCCUGAGCAGCAUUUGUCUGUCACAGUAAGGGGUCUGUGUGCAGCAGCAAGGUCCUCCUCAUGCUGGGGUGUCUGCCAGUGCUGCUGUCCUUUCCUAGGGGGUAGGGGUGGAAGAAAGGACUCAGCAGGAGGGUGCACGGAUGCUGCACAUGACGCACCCUGACUAUGCCUGUUUUGAAAGUAUGCCAAGUAAGUUAGUUUUUGUUGUUGAUGUCUUUGAAAGCAAAAGCUUUGUGUGUUAACUUAUUUUCAGUAUCUUGAACUUAUUUAUGAUUUGCUGACACAGUGAUUUAUCCAUCUAAAAAUAGAUACUUUUCCAUUUAAAACUAAUUUAUAAAUGGUAUACUCUUGGGAAGAUAUAAAAUCUUUUAGAAGUUUCCUGAAUAUUUUCACCAUGAAGACAGACUUAGAUACUCUUUUGAUGCCACUAUCUGAUCUAAAUAUUUAUGAUAAAUGUAUUAUUUUUUUAAAGAGCGUGAUGAGAUCUGUGAUUAAAUGCUAGUACUCAAAACCCGAAUCCCCCAAACUUCAAGUUGUUGGUUAGCUCGCUACCUGAAUACAAACUGUACAGUCUGUUCUAGAAGUCAGGUUCUCAGCCUCAGGAGAUUGCCUUCCUUUCUAAAAGGAAGAUGAACUUAAUGGGCUUAAACUGGGCGUGGUGGUGCAUGCCUUUAAUCUCUGUACUUGGGGGGCAGAGGUAGGAAGAUCCCUGUGAGUUUAAGGCCAGUCUGUUCUGUAGAGUGAGACCCAUGCCAUUAAUUACAUGGUGAGACCCUGCAUUAAGAAAAAGAAAUAAGAAUGGGCUUAGGUGAGGGGUAUAAAAUACCAAACUCUAAAUCAUGCACAGUUUCUCUACCGUGUACCUGAGGUAAAUUACAAGUAUGAGAGCAACCUGGCCUGGCCCUCAAGGGAAAGCGUGUCUCAUUGUAGCAAGGUCCUGUGCUGUGAUUGGACACCAUUCCUCUUUUCUCCACAAACAGUGCAGAGAGCUGUCGGAGUGGCAAUGUGAGCAGAUUCCCCGGUGCUCCCUCUGCUCCUACAACACUACAGUAAGUAAAUGAACUAUAUGGGGAGCUGGGAGCCUGGAAAUGAGCUGUGCUCUAUAGCCAGCCUUCCCUGAGGAAAGCCACCCCACCUAGCUGUUGUGACAGCUGCUCACAGCAUUCUGAAUCAGGGUUUUCUCUAAGAAAUCCUUUAGCAUCAACAAAGUCUAGGAUGAUCCAGCCAUCAUGAUUGUCAGUUCAGAGAAUGUUGUCUGCUGCCACUGUCAUGAGUAGCUUCAUGGUGUGUGGCUCAUGUACGGUCUGAGAAGUCUGGAGAGGACAGUGACUGGGAAGGUAGGAGGGCCUUCCUGAAUUCCCACUCUGAAAUGGACAGGAUGUGAAGUAACGUAAAGUCCCACAUUGCUUUACUAGCUGUUAGGAGUUACUCCUAAAGAUGAGCCCUGCUUCUCAGUUGUGCCAGAAAAGGCUUUUAACAGUGUGAAUUCAGUUCUUCUCUGUACAGAAAGGGAACACUGGGUUACUCAAUGGAGUUGUUUAUACACAGCAUUCGUUGCCAUCGAGUCUCAGAUGGCAGGAGCACAUGAGAAGGGGAUUCUCCGUCUUUUAUAAACCCUUUUCUUUGGCUGUAUCUGAUGACAGUGUAAGAUCUUAAUAAAGUUUUGUGUUCUUUUUGAAGAGUU
rnacentral:lncRNA from 1 species